ensembl:miRNA
ACCUCUAUCUCCUGGCAGAGGAGGCCGCAGAGGCUGGCUUUCCAAAACUGCCCCCUCCGCUGCUGCCAAGUGGCUGGU